rnacentral:lncRNA from 1 species
UUAUGGUGAUUUGCAGGCCAAUAGCAGAUCAAGGAAACUUAAGACUUAUGUCUGUAAACUGGACUCUGGCUGUCAGGGGAAAGGCAUCUAUAUCACCAAAUCUGUGAAGGACAAAAACCGGGACAGGAUAUGAUCUGCCAACUCUACACCUCAAGGGGAAUGCUCCAAGGAAAGAAUAGAACUCCAUGAAAAUCUGGAGAAAUUAAUCAGAGAUGGAGGGGAGGACACAUGGAGCCUCUGGCCUGGUGAAAAAGCAAAUAGGAAAUUCAGAUCCUCUUGAGCACAAGGUGAAUCAUUUUCCAAAAGAAGCAAAGAAGGGGACUGAUAGUAGGAAAUCCAGCAUUCUACAACAAAAACAGCCCAGGACUGGUGAAAAGAAAAGCAUAAGACACUGCAGCUCCCUGCUAGACUUGGCAGAGCCAGACUCAGCUACUAUCUUGGAUGACUAUAACUCUAAUGCAGACCCAAUCCAGGCCUUGAGCAAACCUCUACUCUGCAGUGCUGUUUGUCUCCCAAAGUCUGAGAGAUCCUCUCUUCUA